rnacentral:rRNA from 1 species
CAAUAGCGUAUAUUAAAGUUGUUGCAGUUAAAAGGCUCGUAGUUGAAUUUCGGGUCCCCGCGCUCGGCGCUUCAUUGUGCCGUCGUGGUGUCCCUCCUCGCCGUAAGGCGUCCUUUACUGUGAAAAAAUUAGAGUGUUCAAAGCAGGCAAUCGCUUGAAUACAUUAGCAUGGAAUAAUAAGAUAGGAUCUUGUCUAUUUUGUUGGUUGCGGACAACGAUAAUGAUUAAUAGGGAUAGUUGGGGGUGUCCGUAUUGAGCUGUCAGAGGUGAAAUUCUUGGAUUUGCUCAAGACGAACUACUGCGAAAGCAUUCACCAAGGAUGUUUUCAUUAA